rnacentral:rRNA from 1 species
UACGGGGGGGGCAAGCGUUGUUCGGAAUUACUGGGCGUAAAGGGCUCGUAGGCGGCCAACUAAGUCAGACGUGAAAUCCCCAGGCUCAACCUGGGAAUUGCGUCUGAUACUGGAUGGCUUGAAUCCGGGAGAGGGAUGCAGAAUUCCCGGUGUAGCGGUGAAAUGCGUAGAGACUGGGAAGAACACCAGUGGCGAAGGCGGCUACCUGGACAGGUACUGACGCUGAAGCGCGAAAGCUAGGGGAGCAAACAGG